rnacentral:rRNA from 1 species
UACAGAGGUCUCAAGCGUUGUUCGGAUUCAUUGGGCGUAAAGGGUGCGUAGGCGGCGCGGUAAGUCGGGUGUGAAAUCUCGGAGCUUAACUCCGAAACUGCAUUCGAUACUGCCGUGCUUGAGGACUGGAGAGGAGACUGGAAUUUACGGUGUAGCGGUGAAAUGCGUAGAUAUCGUAAGGAAGACCAGUGGCGAAGGCGGGUCUCUAGACAGUUCCUGACGCUGAGGCACGAAGGUCAGGGGAGCAAACGGGG